ensembl:lncRNA
CACCCUGGUGUGUUCCAUGGGGUUAGGAGCCGUCCGAUCCCUCCUGUGCUCUGUGUCAGCGACCCCUGGGACGGAUGACGGCUGCAGAAAGAAACACAACUUGUUUGGGAAGAGUGAAAGAAGGCUGUUUUCUUGACUGUCUUUUACUCCCUGACAUUCUCUGCCCUUGAAAAAGCUGUCACAACAAAGUGGUGUUGGAUUGAAGCUCCCGAUUUUUGGAAUGUUUUCCGGGGAUCCUCGCCCCUGGCACCGUCUACUGAAGCCCUCGUCAUCCUAUUGUAAGAAUCUCAAUUUGAAAACAGACUGAAUGUAAUUUCUAACUCUGGCUCUGCCACUAACUGGCUGGGGGAACCCCAGCAAGGUACUUGACCUCUUUGACCCUAAGUUUCCCAUCUGGUGGGGUCCACCAGACCAUGGCUUCCCGAAGGUCCCUGCGCUGCGUAUACACAGUAAAUGCUCAGAGGUGGGUGUAAUCCAUUAGUCAUGCAGUAUCAUCUCAACUUGGGACUUCCCUGGCAGUCCAGUGGUCAAGACUGCGUGCAUCCUCUGCAGAGGGCAUGGGUUCAAUCCCUGGUCAGGGAACUAUGAUCCCACAUGCUGCAUGCUGAGGCCAGAAAAUAAAACAAACUUGAAGAAGUUAGACUAGACCUCGAGGAAAUCAACUUGUAAUGAUGGGCAUGGAAGGCAGGGGGCUGGGGUUUGAUCCCUGGUCAUGGAAGUGGAUCCCACAUGCAACAGUGAAGACCGAAGACCCAGCAUGAUGCAACUGAGACCCAGUGCAGCCAAAUAAAUAAAUAAAUGCCAAAAAAAUAAAAUCUUUGUCUUGCUCAGUGC